rnacentral:misc_RNA from 1 species
GAUGAAGAACGUAGUGAAAUGCGAUAAGUAAUGCGAAUUGCAGAAUUCCGUGAGUCAUCGAAUCUUUGAACGCACAUUGCGCCCCCCGGUAUUCCGGGGGGCAUGCCUGUUCGAGCGUCAUUGUCAACCCUCAAGCUCGGCUUGCUGUUGGGUCCCCGUCGUUGCUCCAACGGCGGACCCGAAAGACAAUGGCAGAGUCUGCGGGACCCUGGAUGCAGCGAGCUUCUGGCACGCGUCUGGACGGUCUCUGGGCUUGGCCUCCACCAAUCGUCAACCUGUGAUUGACCUCGGAUCAGGUAGGGAUACCCGCUGAACUUAAGCAUAUCAAUAAGCGGAGGA